rnacentral:tRNA from 1 species
GCCGCGGUAGCUCAGUGGUAGAGCGGUGGCCUGAAGAGCCACGCGUCGGGGGUUCGAUUCCCUCCCGCGGCACAA